GAUGAAGAACGCAGCGAAAUGCGAUACGUAAUGUGAAUUGCAGAAUUCAGUGAAUCAUCGAGUCUUUGAACGCACAUUGCGCCCCCUGGUAUUCCGGGGGGCAUGCCUGUCCGAGCGUCAUUGCUGCCCUCAAGCACGGCUUGUGUGUUGGGCCUCCGUCCUCCUCCCGGGGGACAGGCCCGAAAGGCAGCGGCGGCACCGCGUCCGGUCCUCGAGCGUAUGGGGCUUCGUCACCCGCUCUUGUAGGCCCGGCCGGCGCUUGCCGACACAUCAAUCUUUUUUCCAGGUUGACCUCGGAUCAGGUAGGGAUACUCGCUGAACUUAAGCAUAUCAAUAAGCGGAGGA
rnacentral:misc_RNA from 1 species